rnacentral:rRNA from 1 species
AGUGAACGCUGGCGGUAGGCCUAACACAUGCCAGUCGAACGGCAGCACAGUAAGAGCUUGCUCUUACGGGUGGCGAGUGGCGGACGGGUGAGGAAUACAUCGGAAUCUACUUUUUCGUGGGGGAUAACGUAGGGAAACUUACGCUAAUACCGCAUACGACCUACGGGUGAAAGCAGGGGAUCUUCGGACCUUGCGCGAUUGAAUGAGCCGAUGUCGGAUUAGCUAGUUGGCGGGGUAAAGGCCCACCAAGGCGACGAUCCGUAGCUGGUCUGAGAGGAUGAUCAGCCACACUGGAACUGAGACACGGUCCAGACUCCUACGGGAGGCAGCAGUGGGGAAUAUUGGACAAUGGGCGCAAGCCUGAUCCAGCCAUACCGCGUGGGUGAAGAAGGCCUUCGGGUUGUAAAGCCCUUUUGAUGGGAAAGAAAAGCAGCAGGUUAAUACCCCGCUGUUCUGACGGUACCCAAAGAAUAAGCACCGGCUAACUUCGUG